rnacentral:rRNA from 1 species
UACAGAGGGUGCAAGCGUUAUUCGGAAUUACUGGGCGUAAAGAGCGCGUAGGCGGUUUGAUAAGUCUGGUGUGAAAGCCCUGGACUCAAUCCAGGAAGUGCAUUGGAUACUGUCAGGCUAGAAUACAGGAGAGGUGAGCGGAAUUCCUGGUGUAGAGGUGAAAUUCGUAGAUAUCGGGAGGAACAACAGAAGCGAAGGCGGCUCACUGGACUGUUAUUGACGCUGAGGCGCGAAAGCGUGGGGAGCAAACAGGAUUAGAAACCCCGGUAGU